UCGGAAGCUAAGCGGGGUCGGGCCUGGUUAGUACUUGGAUGGGAGACCGCCUGGGAAUACCAGGUGCUGUAAGCUU
rnacentral:rRNA from 1 species